rnacentral:rRNA from 1 species
GACGAACGCUGGCGGCGUGCUUAACACAUGCAAGUCGAACGGGUCUGCCCUGUUUUUUGCGGGGUGGGUCAGUGGUGAACGGGUGAGUAACACGUGAGUAACCUGCCCCUCACUUCUGGAUAACCGCUUGAAAGGGUGGCUAAUACGGGGUGUUCUGGCUGUGCCGCAUGGUGUGGCUGGGAAAGAUUCACUUUUGUGGUGUUUUGGUGGGGGAUGGGCUCGCGGCCUAUCAGCUUGUUGGUGGGGUGAUGGCCUGCCAAGGCUUUGACGGGUAGCCGGCCUGAGAGGGUGGGCGGUCAAACUGGGACGGAGAUACGGCCCAGACUCCGGCGGGAGGCAGCAGUGGGUGGUAUUGGAUGAUGGGCGGAAGGCUGAUGCAGCGACGUCGCGUGAGGGAUGGAGGCCUUCGGGUUGUGAACCUCUUUCGCCGGUGAAGAAGGUCCUGCUCUUUGUGGUGGGGUUGACGGUAGCCGGGUUAUGAAGCGCCGGCUAACUACGUG